GUUGAUAGGCUGGAGGUGGAAGCCCCGUGAGGGGUGGAGCUGACCAGUACUAAUAGCCCGUGAGACUUGUCCCC
rnacentral:rRNA from 1 species